UACGGAGGGUGCAAGCGUUAUCCGGAUUCACUGGGUUUAAAGGGUGCGUAGGCGGGCAUGUAAGUCAGUGGUGAAAUCUCAGAGCUUAACUCUGAAACUGCCAUUGAUACUAUGUGUCUUGAAUUUCCUGGAGGUUAGCGGAAUAUGUCAUGUAGCGGUGAAAUGCUUAGAUAUGACAUAGAACACCAAUUGCGAAGGCAGCUCGUUACACGAAUAUUGACACUGAUGCACGAAAGCGUGGGGAUCAAACAGG
rnacentral:rRNA from 1 species